GCAAAGCAGAUAGAGCAAGAUUACAGAGAGCUUAAAGCCAAAUUUGACAACCUAAAUGUGCAGUUUGAUUACCUGAAGAAUGAAAACCAGUCUCUGCUUAUGCAGUUGGAAAAGCUACGUUCUGAGGUAGAAAACA